rnacentral:rRNA from 1 species
GACGAACGCUGGCGGCGUGCUUAACACAUGCAAGUCGAACGAUGAAGCCGGAGCUUGCUCCGGUGGAUUAGUGGCGAACGGGUGAGUAACACGUGAGCAAUCUGCCCUUGACUCUGGGAUAACUGCGGGAAACUGUAGCUAAUACCGGAUACGACACCUUGGGGCAUCCCAGGGUGUGGAAAGAAUUUCGGUCAAGGAUGAGCUCGCGGCCUAUCAGCUAGUUGGUGAGGUAAUGGCUCACCAAGGCGACGACGGGUAGCCGGCCUGAGAGGGUGACCGGCCACACUGGAACUGAGACACGGCCCAGACUCCUACGGGAGGCAGCAGUGGGGAAUAUUGUACAAUGGGCGCAAGCCUGAUGCAGCGACGCCGCGUGAGGGAUGACGGCCUUCGGGUUGUAAACCUCUUUCAGCACCGACGAAGCGCAAGUGACGGUAGGUGCAGAAGAAGGACCGGCCAACUACGUGCCAGCCGCCGCUGUAA